rnacentral:lncRNA from 1 species
AAAGAUGUGGGGGAAGAGAUUCUCUAGAAGCAAGGAGCAGCACAAACAAAGCAAAGGGAAUGUGCAUCUGAGAAAAUAAGUGGUCUAAUCCAUCCCAACUCCAAGCCUGUAUGGUGGUAUGGGGUGGAUAGAGAUGAUGUCCCACAAAGCAGAAGUACAGAACGGGAGUGAAACGAGACCCAACAACAGAGAGGAAAGAUUAACAGGAAGUCCUUGCUUAGGUUGGUAAGAAGCAUCAAGCUUUCAAGACUAAUGAUUUAUCUGCAUUCAAAACAAGUUCAAUUAUUGAAGCAGAACAACCCAGUAUUCAAAUCUAAAAGUCUGACAGGUUUUGUACUGUGGUUUGAAACUUAACUAUGUGAAAUAACUUGAUGGCAAUUAAAAUGAUUUAUUCUGU